rnacentral:misc_RNA from 1 species
GUCGUAACAAGGUUUCCGUAGGUGAACCUGCGGAAGGAUCAUUACCACACCUAAAAAAAACUUAUCCACGUGAAUGUAUUCUUGUAUUAGGCUAGGCUGCUUUUUUAAUUAAAAGUAGCCAUUGAUGAAAAUUAUUUAUUUUAUUUUUAAAAUACAUAAUUAGUAAUUAGCAGAAGGUUGUUCUUUAUUGAAUAACUGAUGUAUUUUUAAUCCAAUAAAUUUAUUAAAAAAACUGAAAUAUACUUGCUUACAGAAAUGUUUGCAUUUUAUCUAGAUACAACUUUCAACAGUGGAUGUCUAGGCUC